GAUGAACGCUAGCGGCAGGCUUAAUACAUGCAAGUCGAGGGGCAGCAGGACUGUAGCAAUACAGUUGCUGGCGACCGGCAAACGGGUGCGGAACACGUACGCAACCUACCCAUAACUGGGGAAUAGCCCGGGGAAACCCGGAGUAAUACCUCGUAACCUGGUGAAUGGGCAUCCCUUUAUCAGCAUAGCUCCGGCGGUUAUGGAUGGGCGUGCGCCUGAUUAGGUAGUUGGCGGGGUAACGGCCCACCAAGCCUGCGAUCAGUAACUGGUGUGAGAGCACGACCAGUCACACGGGCACUGAGACACGGGCCCGACUCCUACGGGAGGCAGCAGUAAGGAAUAUUGGUCAAUGGACGCAAGUCUGAACCAGCCAUGCCGCGUGAAGGAUGAAGGUCCUCUGGAUUGUAAACUUCUUUUAUAGGGGACGAAACCCGGGUAUUCUUACCCGAUUGACGGUACCCUAGGAAUAAGCACCGGCUAACUCCGUGCCAGCCGCCGCCGUAACAC
rnacentral:rRNA from 1 species